UCCCCGGAUUGUAUAAAUCUUUCGCCUUUUACAAAGGAU
rnacentral:snRNA from 1 species